rnacentral:rRNA from 1 species
AACGAACGCUGGCGGCAGGCCUAACACAUGCAAGUCGAACGCUCCGCAAGGGGAGUGGCAGACGGGUGAGUAACACGUGGGAAUCUUCCUGUUGGUACGGAAUAGCUCAGGGAAACUUGGGGUAAUACCGUAUAAGCCCGAGAGGGGAAAGAUUUAUCGCCGACAGAUGAGCCCGCGUCUGAUUAGCUAGUUGGUGAGGUAACGGCUCACCAAGGCGACGAUCAGUAGCUGGUCUGAGAGGAUGACCAGCCACACUGGGACUGAGACACGGCCCAGACUCCUACGGGAGGCAGCAGUGGGGAAUAUUGGACAAUGGGCGCAAGCCUGAUCCAGCCAUGCCGCGUGAGUGACGAAGGUCUUCGGAUUGUAAAGCUCUUUUGGCGGGGACGAUAAUGACGGUACCCGCAGAAUAAGCCCCGGCUAACUUCGUGCCAGCAGCCGCGGUAACAC